rnacentral:rRNA from 1 species
UACGAAGGGGGCUAGCGUUGCUCGGAAUGACUGGGCGUAAAGGGCGCGUAGGCGGAUGGCUUUGUCGGGCGUGAAAUUCCAGGGCUUAACCUUGGGGCUGCGUUCGAGACGGGUUGUCUUGAGUGGGGAAGAGGGUCGUGGAAUUCCCAGUGUAGAGGUGAAAUUCGUAGAUAUUGGGAAGAACACCGGUGGCGAAGGCGGCGACCUGGUCCUUUACUGACGCUGAGGCGCGAAAGCCAGGGGAGCGAACGGG